rnacentral:lncRNA from 1 species
CUAUGGACAACUUAUCUAUAUUAAAAUUUAUGACAAGCUGGAUGUGCCUUUGUUUUUGUCUAUAUUUGUCCAAGUAUCAGUAACAAAUGACCUGAAUGAAUGAAUCACAGCAAUGUCAGCUAUGCACUUUGAUUUUUAACUGUGCAAUCUGUUAUGAUCUGUGGACUGACCUGUAGAAAUACAUCUUGUCAUGCAGGAAAAACUCCUUUGUCACAUGGCCAGUAUCCAGAGGGACUUGGACAAGCUUGAGAAGUAGGCCCAGGUGAACCUAAUGAGGUUCAACAAGGUCAAGAGCAAGGUGCUGCACCUGGGUUGGGGCAAUCCCAGACACGAGCACAGACUGGGAGAACUCAUGGAGAGCAGCCCUGCAGAGGACUUGGGGCUUCUCGUGGACAAAAAGCUUGACAUGAUCCAGCAGUGAAUGCUUGCAGUCCAGAAGGCCAACUACAUCCUGGGCUGUAUCAACAGAGGGAUACCUGCAGACUUUUCCUGAACAUGUCAAAACACUGCAGGCACCACAUUACAGUAUGUGUACUACAAUUAAAAAUACCUCCCAGAGGAGCAGGAGCAAGGUAAUGACAUUGAAGUGGAUUUGCUUGUUCUAUUCUCUUGUUGUUUAGAGAUCAUGUUGCUUAAACUUCAAAUAAUUUAUACAAACAUCUAUGUGUUAUUUAUAUUUCUAUUUUCUGCUUCAUAAUUUUAAGAUUUCCCAAACUGUGAUAGGACCUUCCCAGCAGGGAGGAAGAUAUGGUCAGUACUUCCCUGAAUGUUCAACCCUGCUUCAGGGAGUGGAGUCCAGCACGUUUUUGAGGAACUAUGGGAAGGAGAUAGCAUGAUGCUGCAGAGUUCAGGGACCAGAACCUGUGAAAUAAAGCAGCUAAAUUGGAGAUCUGAAGUUAAUGGGAGUGAAUUCUGUCAGAUAUAUAUAUUUAAAAUUAACAGAAAGUAAGUAAAUAAUGUAAAUUAAAUGAAAACUAAAAAGCACAUCCUCCUCUUCCCCCUAUCAAAAAAUACACAACUAAACAAAACCAAAAGCUGUAAUCCUGCCUAUUCUACCUACCAUUAGUAAAGGGAAGUAAAGCAAGUAACAUUGAUAUCCAGUGGAUGUUGUAGAAGCCAUGUUUAACAUCUGUUACCAUCCAGUAAUAGUAGUGUUAAUUAAGAGUCUUGUCUUCAAUUUCCGUUACCACGUUUUUGUAAUGUAGUUGAAUUUGGUGGACUGGUGAGACAGUAGCUUAUACAAACACCAGAAUCUAUCUCCAAUGGGCUAAUUUUUAAACUGCACUCAGUUUAUACAAGUAUUUUGUCAAUAUGUUGUAUUAUAGGGUGAGACAAACAUAAGAAAAUAAUCAAUACUGAUGAAUCUUUAGCUAUCUUAAUUAUUUUUGGAGAAGAAAAUGGUGUAUGUACAAAGUUCAAUAUUUAGUGUGUAGUAUGAAGUUCUGACUUAGUAAUGGUACUUAUUGAGACAGAUUUUUUUCUACAUUUCUAUAAGGAUGUAGAACUUGGUAUUAGAAGUCAAGUUGAAAAAAGAUUUAGCAGUGCAAUACUCUUUUAAAAAUCAUAAAUAUGCAAAGAAUUAUAUUAUUCCCAUCAUUUUUUUCCCCUGUUAUUAAUUUGUUCAGAUCUUUUAUUAGUCUACGUUUUUUCUUUCAACUUGACCCAGUCAAAGCAGUUUGAAGACAUUUACAAUGAUGGAGAGGGAGCUUCAAUUAACCUUCUUGGCUGAGAUAUUUGAUAUGCAUGAGUUACUAUAUAACAGCUUAAUUAUCUAAUACUCUUUGUAAGGUUUCUAAUAAAGAAUGGAAUUGAUUUAUAUAUUAUGAGAGC